GACAGAGGGGGCAAGCGUUGCUCGGAAUCACUGGGCGUAAAGGGCGCGUAGGCGGGAUGGCAAGUCAGUCGUGAAAUCUCUCGGCUCAACCGAGAAACGUCGGCUGAUACUGCCGUUCUUGAGGGAUGCAGAGGAGACUGGAAUUCCUGGUGUAGCGGUGAAAUGCGCAGAUAUCAGGAGGAACACCGGUGGCGAAGGCGGAUCUCUGGGCCAUUACUGACGCUGAGGAGCGAAAGCGUGGGGAGCGAACAGG
rnacentral:rRNA from 1 species